rnacentral:lncRNA from 1 species
GCCUCCUCUGUGCUUGGAUCUAUGUUUCCCCACCCCCAAUGCUGAUCCUUCUCGCCUCGAUGUCCAAGAGCUCCGAUAUGUCGUCCACCGAGCCCCGGUGCUCAGAUCACAACACAUGCCAAAGGAUUUGGCGGGCGUAGCAGGGUGUCGUUCCCACGGGCAUCCCUGGAUCAGGAUUGUGGAAGUGAGUGCCAUGGGGCAGGAGCUAGACGUGAAGGUGCCAUUGCUGCAUGAUGAGGGUGUGGAUUCCAUGAAAGCAUAUGACUGAAUUGAGCUUCUUCUAAGCAUUUUUUUAUGAUGGGGCAUUCAAAGCUGGUGAAUUGGACUAGAUAUUGAGUUUACAGGAGCAGUCAGGGAUAAUAUGCAUGGUUCUGUAAUUAGUGUGGAAACCUGAGCAAGACGUAAGGCGUGUUUCUAAAAAUGUUCUUAGGACCAGUAAAUCUACGGACAACAAGGAAGAUUGUGCAACAGAAGGUGAAGGAGGAUAGAAGGCAGAAGGGGGAUGGACGGGCGACAACGACAUUGGUGCGGCGAUAAAGUUGGUGAGCACAGAAGGGGAGCUAGGUGUGCCAGUGACACUGGGGCAACACAGAAGGGGGCAGGCGACAAAGUCAGGGUGAGUACAAUAAGGGUACGGCGACGACGGAGUCGAGCGCUUCUACCUUGUGUCGAUCCGAUACAACGAUAAUAGAACAGAAGUGGAAUUGGAUUGUUUU